rnacentral:rRNA from 1 species
UAGGGAAUAUUGGACAAUGGGUGAGAGCCUGAUCCAGCCAUGCCGCGUGCAGGAAGAAAGCCUUCUGGGUUGUAAACUGCUUUUUCCCAGGGAUAAAAACACUAUGCGUAGUGGAUUGAAGGUACUGGGAGAAUAAGCCACGGCUAACUACGUGCCAGCAGCCGCGGUAAUACGUAGGUGGCAAGCGUUGUCCGGAUUUAUUGGGUUUAAAGGGUGCGUAGGCGGUUUUGUAAGUCAGUGGUGAAAUACGGCAGCUCAACUGUCGAGGUGCCAUUGAUACUGCGGAACUUGAGUACUGAUGAGGUAGGCGGAAUGGACGGUGUAGCGGUGAAAUGCUUAGAGAUCGUCCAGAACACCGAUAGCGAAGGCAGCUUACUAAGGAGUAACUGACGCUGAGGCACGAAAGUGUGGGGAUCAAACAGGAUUAGAUACCCCCGUAGUCC